CCUCAAAAGUAAGUCCUGCUGACAAGUAUACACAGGAUUGUAGCCUCAGAUUCACAACCAAAGUGCCUUGAGAGCUCACAUCUGUGGACCCCUUGCCAAAGCAAGACAAAAUGGAAAGGAAGCGAGAUGAUUUGCAACUGGAAAAAUCAGGGGCAACAAAGAGCUAUAAGCAAUGGCAAUAGUUGGUGGUGCUGCUUAUGAUUAUUGGUUCCUCUCCAGUGUUGAGAUCAGCAGAGGGGGCCUUUGUGGAAGUUCCAACACCCUCAGGAGCCUGGGAGAGGACAUUCUCUGCGGUGGCCCUAAGUUGUGGAACUCCCUCCCUGCCGAGAUAAAGGCAGGGCAGCAAUUUCGUUACAAACAAGCAAAGGAACAAACAAUGCUGAACUGCAGUAAGCUCCACCAUAACAUAAUGACCAGCUGCGACCUGCUUGUGCAGCACAGUGACAGAGGAGAAUGUUCUUGUUCAGAGUUGGGUGGGAUUGGCGGCAACCCACCAGCAGCAAAUAUUGUGCUGUGUCAUUAUUACACAAAGCUUUUUUUAAAAAAAUCAUAUAAACCAGGAGGGGAGUAAUCCUUGGAACUGGAUCUUAAAAGUAAUAAUCUCUAAGAAGCUGAUUCAGUAAACUGAACUUUGUUAAUAGCUAGAGAUCAGGUGAUGCCAUUAGUUAAGAAUUCUGCCCCUGCCCCACAAGCAUGUGUCAAAACUGAGAUCACACUGAGCAUUUAGUCAAGAGAGUUAACCUUAAAAAAACCAUCCUGCUUUUGGCCACGAGUUAGAUUUUAGUAAGAGAGCGCCCCCUUUGGGGGAGAGCAUUCUCCUGGUCUCUUAGCCAAUUUGUUAUCUAUAUUCGGUUAAAUUUAAAACAGCAGCCAAAACAAAUGGGGAGGACAGAUGUGCAUGUCAGAAUAAUCUGUUUUGAAAGAAAUGGAUGUUGUAUUUUAUUCCAGCAAGAUACACAUGGGUUCUUUUGACAGAUUUCUGCCCUGAGAGAUUGGCCUUGCUCCAAAAAGUUUCUGUUUAGGCAAGCAUUCUAAUUGUUUACUAUUUGAUUCCCACCCUGUACCACCCUCAAAUAUCCUUGCUAUGUUUGUGUGUGAUUUUGCUCUGCUGUUCCAUAGCCAUUUGAACGGAGUGUUAUUUUCAGUUGCAUCUUUUUAGUGUUAUUUUAAAAAUACUGUUCCUUUCCCUUGAGCCAGGUGUUGCCCUUCAGAUAUUGAACUCCCAUCAUCCCUAGCCCCUGGCCAUGCUUGCUAGGGCUGCUGAGGGAGUUGUAGUUCAGCACAUCUGGAGAGCCAAAGGUUCCCCACACCUGCCUUGAGCACUCCCGAUUCCUUUAAAUAAAUAGUAAACAGAUAUAAUCCUGGGCUUAAAAGCAUGUACUCGUUGGCCUUUGCCUACAAAAUAGUUCAUCCCGCAACACUUGGGAUUCUGUCACUUGAAUUUUUGCUGGCUGAAUAGGACUUUUGAAGCUUGAGAUCGGGCUGCCGGGAAGAGCUAGAGUGGCGGCUGAUGGAGACUGGCAGAGACUAAAGGGACUUUCUGUUGUUAGAAAGAAUGAGACUGCGUAUAACAUCAUGGUUGGGGUGCUCUAGUAACUAAGUUGAAACUGCUUAAGUUUUCUUUUACCCCUGCAAUGUUCAUUAGACGUGUAAUGCGGCCUCCUAUAAUGUGUUAUGUUAUAUUUAUAGUGUGGAAAUAGUUUUUGUGUUGUUGUAAUGUUUGCUAUUUGUUAUUUUUUCUAUUAUGGUUAUAUUAUU